rnacentral:rRNA from 1 species
AGCGAACGCUGGCGGCAGGCCUAACACAUGCAAGUCGAACGAAGCCUUCGGGCUUAGUGGCGGACGGGUGAGUAACACGUGGGAACGUACCUUUUGGUUCGGAAUAACGCAGAGAAAUUUGCGCUAAUACCGAAUGAGCCCUUCGGGGGAAAGAUUUAUCGCCGAAAGAUCGGCCCGCGUUGGAUUAGGUAGUUGGUGUGGUAAAGGCGCACCAAGCCUACGAUCCAUAGCUGGUCUGAGAGGAUGAUCAGCCACACUGGGACUGAGACACGGCCCAGAUUCCUACGGGAGGCAGCAGUGGGGAAUCUUGCGCAAUGGGCGAAAGUCUGACGGAGCAACGCCGCGUGAGCGAUGAAGGCCUUCGGGUCGUAAACCUCUUUCAGCAGGGACGAAGCGCAAGUGACGGUACCUGCAGAAGAAGCACCGGCCAACUACGUGCCAGCCGCCGCCGUAAGAC